rnacentral:rRNA from 1 species
GACGAACGCUGGCGGCGUGCUUAACACAUGCAAGUCGAACGGAAAGGCCUGCUUUCCCUUGUGGAUUGCGGGUACUCGAGUGGCGAACGGGUGAGUAACACGUGAGUGAUCUGCCCCCAACUUGGGUAUAAGCCUGGGAAACUGGGUCUAAUUCCCGAUAGGACUGCAGGGUGGUGCCUGUGGUGGAAAACGAUUUUCUAGUGGUUGGGGAUGAGCUCGCGGCCUAUCAGCUGGUUGGUGGGGUAAUGGCCUACCAAGGCGGCGACGGGUAGCCGGCCUGGGAGGGUGGACGGCCACAUUGGGACUGAGAUACGGCCCAGACUCCUACGGGAGGCAGCAGUGGGGAAUAUUGCACAAUGGGCGGAAGCCUGAUGCAGCGACGCCGCGUGGGGGAUGACGGCCUUCGGGUUGUAAACUCCUUUCGACCGCGAGGAAGCCACCUGGUUGGAAGGGUGGUGACGGUAGUGGUAGAAGAAGCACCGGCUAACUACGUG